ensembl:lncRNA
UGCUUCAGUUAUUUCCUACGAGCAUAUCUGGCGAUUUAACUGAAAACAUCAGAAGAGCCAUUUUGGCGGUCUUUCAGCAGUAGUGCAAUUUUAGUGGCUGCAGUCUCCACAAUCACCAAAGCACUUGGAAUCCAGCAAUGCAUCUGGACCAACUACAUAGACCUACUACCUCCACUGGAAUAUCAUAGCGCUUGUAACCUGGCUGGUCAUCAAGUUGCUCUUUUAAAUAAUACUCAGCUUCAUUUUGGAUGCUGGUCUUCCUCCAAUCACACAGUCUGGUUACGCUCACUUCCCCGCUGCACUCCAUCUGCCUGCCUCCCUGCCACAGCUUCUGGAGCAGUACAUUUUGGAUUCACUCAGGAGUGAAACCUCACCCAGACCUUUGGACUGCCCUCCUUCCACGCCGUACUCCACCUGCAACCUUGACUCUGCACUUCUUCGCCCGUGUGACAGCCCCUUCUUCCCCCAUUGGACCACUU